AACAAAUCUAAGAAAUAAGACCAACACUGCUUUCAACAUAUCGCCAAGAAAAGGAGAGAAAACCGGAGAGAAAUUGUAGAAAAACUACAUAAAACUGCCAAAACGAGAGGCAGAGCAGCUGCUAACUGCUAAAGAAUGGGAUUAAUGGUUUCAAUGCAAGUUCAGCAGGGAAACCAGACCAGUGGCUGAUUUAAUUCAGUGUCCUCCUGCUUCUGCGCCAGUCAUGGACGAGAUUAGGUCUCUCUGCUGAGUCCUGAUUGAAGGUGGCGUUUGAUCAGAGCUGUCAGUGCACCGCUGGAUCCAGGCCCAGACGCUGCAUGUAGCUGGAAUCCUCAUUAUGCAAAUGAACUCACACCACGUUGGGAGGAGAAGAAGCAGAAGAAGAAGCUCCAGAUGAAGACGUGACAGCUACUGAAUCACAAACAAAAUCAGCUCCAACGACAGAAGAAAGUUGCUGCAAAAAAACCGCGGAGAGCUUUUGCAAACAUCCAGAUGUUGGCGGCGCAGCAGAUGGCACCAGCUUGUCUAGAAAAAGACGCAUCUCACUCAACAGCUGGGUGGAAUUCUCUGUGCAACCCUGAGCCUAAAUCCCUGAAUCACAACCUAAAAAAAUACAAAAUAAAUCGCGCAACACUCACAGAUUUGCGCUCCACCAAAUGGCACCACGACGCGGGGAUCACUUUCCUAAAGCCGGAGAGCUCGCUGCUGAUGUUUGUGCUCCAAACUUACAAAAAGCAGCUCAUGCGGACCACAGGGCAGCGGAUUAUCGUGGAUAUGGCGUCAAAACAGAUCUCAGUUUUGUGUUUGUUUUUUUUUCUUGAUCCUCAUCCACCAUUUUAUCGCCACAUUCAACUCUGAGAAAACCUCCGCAACGCCCAGAAACGCACCGCGAACAUCUCGUCCAAAAGUGGGAGAAGAGACGCCGCAUCCGAGCCCCACAUCUGGACUUUUUCUCAGCAGCAGCAGCUAAAAUGAAAAGAGGAGAAAGUUUGGAGGAAUGGGUUCUUACCUGGUGGCCGUUUGGAUGAGCGGUGCGUCAAAGCGGCUCCGCGUAAACGUUCCGUGUCCAGCGUCGCUCCUGCUGUGGUUUCUACCUGUUCAGAGACGGAAUCCUGCAGAACCAACAGUUCCCAUCGUCCCCCCUGCACUGACUCAACACUUCUCCCCCCUCCUGCCUCCUUCUGCUCGUCCCUCUCCUCCCCUCCGCUCCUCACCGGCCCGUUAUUUAGUUUCGCAGUCCGGACCCCGGUGCCAGAUGUCUCCGCCUCAUCGCCGCGUUUCCUGCCGCCGCUGGUUCGAGGCUGAGCGCGGCUCCGUGACGGGAUCAGGUAGGAAACUCCACGCAGACUCACCUGAAGGGAAAGAUGCUGCGUGGAGAAGGUGGAGGUGGUCCGGAAGAGGCGCUACUGCCCCCAUGUGGUCGGGGAGGAAAACAGCAAAAAAAGAGAGGACACUUUAAUCUCCGACAUUUAGGCUGCACUAAAACUGAAUAAAAAAUGAUCAUUUUAAAACAGAAAACACAGUUAUUUGUGUGUAAUACAAUGCAUUUUAAUAUAUUAAUUCAAUAAAUGAUUAUUUCCUUAUAAACUGUUGUCAAACUUCACAACUUGUGUCCAGUUUUAUGUAAAAUUAUACUUAAACAGAAAACCAUAAAAACGACAUUUAGUCUCCCGCAUUUACACUAAAACUGGAUUAAAACGGUCAUUUCAAAUUAGGAAAUUGCAAAAAACAGAGGUAUUCAUGUGAAAGAUAAUACAAAUGUACACAUAUAUUGGACAAAAAAUAGAAUCCAGACCCAUAAAGACUAACUUCAUCAACUUAAAAUAUGAAUUAGAUGAUAAUUUUCUUAUUCUUACUAACUAGUCCUCUGAUAUUAUAAUUUAUUCAUAAUUUUCUCCUCAGUUAACCCUCCUGUUGUCCUCAUUUACGGGCACCAAAAAAUAUUGUUUCCUUGUCUGAGAAAAAUCCCAAAAUUGAGCAAAAAAAUUCCCCAAAUUUCUGAAAAUUUGCAAAACCUUCAGGAAGAAAAUUCUGAUAAUUCCUUAAAAGUUUCCCUUAAAAGUUUUAUUUUUAAACAAAUCCCCCAAAAUUGGCAAGAAAAUUCUUGUAAAUAUUUUCAAAAAUUAGUAAAAAUCUUCAAAAAAAAUCCUAAAAAUAUCUAAAGUGAUUCCAUAUAUAUCAGUAAAACUUCUAAUAUUUUCUUUAAGAACAUUCACAUAAAAAUCAACCAAAAUCCAGCGAAAUUCACAGGAUUUUGGUUGAUUUUUUUGUGAAUGUUCUUAAGAAAUAUUUUUAACAUUUCUUUUUUUUCUACCAAUAAUCUUCAAAGAUUUCCCAAAAAUGCUGAAAAUGUGGACAUCAGAAGUUUCACUGUGAAAUUUUUAUUUAUUCUUUUCCACAUUUUCAAAUUUUAAACCGGGUUAAUUUUGACCCACAGGACGACACGAGGGUUAAUGAGUUCUGAAUGCUAAAGAAGCUCAUAAAUUUCCAGAUAUUAAUUCAAGAAAUGAUUAUUUUCUUCUAAACUGAUGUCAAAAUUCCGAACUUGUGUCAUUUGUCUCAUUUGUUGUCAUUUUGUCUCGUUUUUGUCAUUUUGUGUUUUAUUUUUGUAAUAUUUUGUCUUGUUUGAGUUGUUUUCUGACUUUUGUCAAUUGUCUCAUGUUUUUGUCAUUUUGUUACCUUUGUGUCUCACUUAUGUUCUUUGUCGUAUUUUUAUCAUUUUGUGUUUUGCUGUAUUCAUUGUUUUGUGUCUCUUUUCUAUUGUUUUAUGUUUUGUUGUCUCGCUUGUGUCAUUUGUCUCAUUUUUUGUCGCUUUGUAACUUUUUUGUCUAAUUUUUUUGUCUCUUUUUUGUUUUGUUUUGUUUGUCUCACUUUUGUCGCUUUGUGUCUCGUUUUCGAAAUAUUUUGUCGUUUUUUGUUUUUUGUCUCACUUUUGUAGUUUGUCUCACGUUUUGUCGUUUUGCUUCUUGUCUGUGUCGUUUUGGGUUGUUUUUGUUUUGCUUGUUACUUUUUUUGUUGUUUUGUUUCUCGCUUUGAUCAUUUUUUUCAUUGUCAUUUGUCCAUUUUUUGUCGCUUUGUAACUUUUGUGUCUUAUUUUUUGUCUCUUUUUUGUUUUGUUUCAUGUCGUUUGUCUCAUUUUUGUCAUUUUGUGUCUUAUUAUAAUAAUAUUUUGUCCUGUUUUUGUUGUUUUUUGUCUUUUUUAAUGUAAAAUACUAUAUCAUUCAGUUCCAGAUAGCUGUGACUAAAUGUUUUGUGUCUUUGUAGACACUCUGUGAUCUGUAGGUGAUAAUGUGUAAAUCGGACCUGGGCAUCCUACGGCCCGCGGGCCACAUCCGGCCCGCCGCAUGACCCUGACUGGCCCGUAUGAAGUCACUGGAAAAUAUUAAAAGUCAAUGCAAAUAUAUAUCAUCACAAUACAUGCAAGCAAUACGCCUGCACUGCUUUUAUUUUGAAAGGUCCGCUAAGUUAACGUUUUUUCGCGCGUGCUUUCCGUACUUAGCAUAAGGUUUAUGCUGAUUGGUUUGUUUGUUAGCUUCAGCCCGGGAAGAUGUCAGCUAACGGCAAAGAAAGAAAGAUUGAGUCCGAAUGCAGAGUUUUUAACAAGGCAUGGACUUCCAAGUAUUUCUUCACUGAAGUCAGAGGUAAAGCUGUGUGUCUAGUUUGUGGCGAACAGAUCGCGGUGCUCAAGGAUUAUAAUCUGAAUCGACAUUACGAGACCAAACAUGGCGGAGAAGUACAAACAUUUGACUGAUACAGAGCGGGGAGAAUGUCUGAAGGUUUGCUAGCUAAACUGCUAAAGCAGCAAUGACUUUGUUUUACCAAAGCUCACAUCAAGGGAUGCAGCAGUCAAGACGAGUUUUCUAAUAUCCUACAAAAUCGCCAAAAACAGUAAGCCAUUCUCUGAUGGAGAGUUUAUAAAAGAAUGUCUGGUGGACUCUGCAGUGUUUAUAUGCCCGGAGAAGAAAGGAGUGUUCGUUAAUGUGCCCCUUUGGAGGCGAACCGUAACGAGGCGGGUGGAGAGCAGCGCCGAAAAUCUGGAGCUUCAGCUGCGCAACAAAGUGGACGAUUUUGACGUUUUCUCCUUGGCUCUGGACGAGAGCUGUGAUGUCCGUGACACAGCCCAGUUACUCAUCUUUGUACGUGGACUAACAAAAAAACCUUUGAGAUGACGGAGGAGCUGGCAGCUGUGCAGCCAAUGAAGGAACCACGACGGUGAGUGAUUUGUUCACUGAGGUAAAUACACGCAUGAACAAGCUGGGACUAAAAUGGGAGAAUUUAGUUGGUGUUACAACUGAUGGCUGUCCAAAUUUGACAGGGAAAAAUGUUGGACUUUUGAAACGGAUGCAAGAUAAAGUGACUGAAAUAAACCCAGAACAGAAACUGAUAUUUUUGCAUUGUAUUAUACAUCAGGAGGUGCUGUGUAAGUCAGUGCUAAAAAUCAACCACGUGACUGAUGUUGUAGCUAAAGUAGUUAACUUCAUCAGGGCAAGAGCAUUGAAUUACAGACAGUUUGUUGUCUUUUUGGAGGAGAUGAUGGUGAACAUGGUAACCUUGGUUACCAGACAGCUGUCAGAUGGAUCAGCCUGGACAAGAUGCUGAAACGAGUUUGGGAUCUGAGAGCAGAGAUUCAAGAGUUGGACAUUGUACAUCAUUGUAUUGUGUAAUUUACUGUUUUUAUUGAGAUAUAUAUUGAGCAGAGCUUCUAAGUGUACUGGUCCGGCCCUUAACAACCGUCAAAGUUUCUCAUUUGGCCCCAUAUGAAAAUUAAUUGCCCACCCCUGGUGUAAAUGAUAAACUGAGGCAUAAUAUUGCUGAAAUUUCACUUAUUUUUCUUCAGAAAUUUCAGGUUGUUCUUAAUGUUUUGUAAAUAGAUAAUUCCUUAAAUGUGAAUAUUUUCAAAACAUACCUUUUUGCACUAAAACAAAGGAGAAAUUAGGAGUUGUGGUUAUUUAUAGGUUAUUAUGUUGUGAUUUUACUGGUCACUGGAGAUUAAAUUGGGCUGAAUGUGGAACCUGAACUGAAAUGAGUUUGACGACCCUGGUCUAGAUGCUCAAUCUAUUUUCUUAUCUUUUAAUGGAUUUUUAUGAUCUUAAUAUCUACUUUUCUGUUUAUUUCUAUGAUUUUAACGUAUGUCUACCUUUAAAUCAUCUUUCUGAAUGUAUUUCUUUGCCAUUGUAUGAAAUGUGCUCCACACAUAAACUUGCCUUUAAGUUUUUGGGGCUGAAACAGUAAACGCAACUUUCACAUUUUGUUUUCAGCCAGAAGUGUGGGACUUUAAGCAACUACAUCUAAAAUCUGGUGCAGAAUGUGGUAAUAAAACGUCCGAGAUGUGCAGAGAAUUAAAAGCACACUGAAUUCUGUGAUAAAUGGGUGUAUUUCUACCAAACUGGAAAAGAAAAAAUGACAUUUUAUAAGGAAAUUAGACAAGAAUGUGAGUGAAAGUAGGAGCUCUGUGGUGUUAAAACAAACAAGAAGCAGAACAAGAGCAGCUAAACAAUCCACGAAACUGACAUAAAAACCUCUUUCUGCUUGUAUUUUGGAGUCGAUGACCAUCAGCCUUUUUGCAGACAGAACUCGUCCUCAGUUGAAGCAGCCGAUUAGACGCUUCGUCCAGAAGAGCAGCAAAGAACACUUGAGGCUUUCCUGUUAAAGUGCAGCUUUUAAUCUGAGAGCGAGGAAACGUUUUAUCUCACGAGUGUUCCCCUUAUCCAGCUUCCAGCCUUCAGUUCCACUUGGAGUGAGCUGCAGGAGAGCAGACGGACGUGUGGAGGGCACAAAAGCAGGGUUCCAAGAAACAAACAUCUGAUUUCUCGCUGAUCGAUUUAUCACCAAUCAAUACUGGAGCUGUAAGGAAGAUAGGUUAUUAAGGUGCACAUUAGGGUGAUGACUUUUUUACAACCUCAUAUCCCUGUAUCAUAAUUUGAUGAACUUUUAUUAAAGAUUAGAUAAAAUCUUACUUUUAAGGUGAUUUGAUAAAAAAACCUCACGCACAAAACGAUUUUAAAAAUUUUAAUUAUCAGCUUUUUGGCCAGAAUUUAUCAACUUCAAAACAACUACCAACACUUAGAUUAUCUUUUAAGGCAUUGAAUCAUUUACUUUUCUAUGGUUGGUGCUGUUUUUGGUACUGUUUGUGAAUGCUUCUUUGGGCUUAACGAAUUUAGUCCCAUUGAUAGUAAUAGUGAUUUUUUCAAAGUGGUUUGUGCGUGACCUUUUUCAAUAUUUCAACAGAAUAAAUGUCAUUUUAAUCAUUAAUAGGCAAAAGUUCAUUCAUUAGUGCUACAGGAAAUAAUUUUUGAGAAAAAAAAGUCAAAAAGUCAUCACCCUAGUGCACAUUGGGAGUGUUUCCCUCCAUGGAUUUUGGUCUUCAAAGUGCAAAUAAAUCAGUUCAAUUAACGGCCCGAAUGUCGUCACAGAAAACACCAAACAGUUUAACAAAAAGCUCAAACAUUUUAUUUAACUGUGUUUUAAUAUUUAACAUCAGGAAAAUAAAUAAACAAACCCAGUUUCAAUGAGGGUUUAAAUACACAACAGCAUCACAUUUAGUGAUAAAAAUAUGUGGAUGUGACCUCAUUUCACAGAUUUACUGCAGUGUUUUCUGUAACCUUUGGCUUAGUUUUCAUAACAGAUUUCCAAGAUGUGAAACAUUAAAUUGCAAAGAGACAAAACUGGCCUCUUAUAUUCUGCUUUUUAUGCAUGAAAAGUAAAGUAAAUGCAUCAUUUGUUCCUCUGUUCUGAGAGAAACAGCCUCAUUAGCUUCAAUGCUAACCGCAGAAAUCACUGAAUCAAUGUUUGCAUUUCAACAAUACAGUCGCUUACUGUUCCAAAUGUACACAAAUGACAGAAAUGUAUGAGGUCUGAUGCUUUGAAGAAGACAAAACUCAUUAUUUAGCCUCAUUUAAAUGCAGAAUUUACUGAAGUAUAAAGUCUAAAUGUGUAAGAUGUGUUUCCAUGAGUCUGUUUUUAAAUUGCACAAGAAAAAUGACAGUAAAAAAAGAGAAAAUUGCUUAAAAAAAAAGAAAAAAGUUUUAAAGUGAACGGAACAACGCACUGAAGUUUAAUGGAAGUGAGCUCAGCAAAAACAAAGAUGUUUUGCAUGAAGCAUUAGACUCCAAUUUCCACUAAAGGUCAUGAAAAACAUCAUUUCUUCAGGAAUCUGUGCCCUUCCUCAAACAUGAAACUAACAAGAAAUGUCUUGUUUGGAGGAAAUAUCUUCACUUUUCUUUGACAGAUGCAUAAAAAUGUAGAAUUAGCAUCACUGCUAAUUAAAACAAGCAUUAAUUCUCAUAUUAUUUUGCAGAUUUGCUCAAAAUUUGUCUAAAACUUGCACUAUUUUUGGAUGAAAACUGGUUUAUAGUUAAAGAGAACAUUCAAAAAGCUGCAUCAGUUCAAAUAGUAGCUUCUUUACUUGUAUAUUUAUUUCAAAAAUGACCUCUGAAGACUGUUUGACAGCAUGAUAAUGUAAUUUAUGUUAUUUUAAACGAUCAGUAUAAAUUGUGUUAAACGGUGAAAUUUUGUCAUGAAAACGAACCCAAACCAUUCAGUUUUAUUCCAGUUUACCAGUAUCUUCAUUUGCAUGUUCAUAAUUGAAAAGAAAUCCACUUAUUACAUCCUGAAAAAUGCUGAUUUCAUCCCCCAGCCUGCAUUUAUAUUACUGCUACUGUUAGCUUCUCUUUAAAACUGACCUGAGAAAAAUAAAGCAAUUAAAAAAAAAAAAA